GCAGUGUCCUAGGUUAGUUAGCCUAAGAUGCAUGUGUCAGUUAUCAUAAGCUUUCUUGAGCAAGGGAGGUAGAUGGUGAAAUCUCAGAAAGAAGCUUCCAAAGCUGACCGCCGUUACGCACCACAGGAUGUAAGGACCAUGGCAUACCUCUGCAUGCUACCCCCAGAGGGCUACGUGGUUCAACAGUACAGGAGAGUAAACCCAGGGCUUCAUGAAUGCCAGGCAAGAAACGGCAUUAGAGUGAGGCUAUGUUACGUGCUCAAAGCUGUGCAGCUCUUUUGUUUUGGAUGGACCAUCCAAGACCCAGAGAGAGAGCCCAGCAGUACAAGCGCUUGCCUGGCAAACACAAGGUCCUGAGUUCGAUUCCUGGUACAAAAAAAAAAAGCUCCUGCCUGGAUGGACCAUCCAAAUGAUGGACCAUCAAGUCUAUCAAAAUAACAUCAGCUACUGGAGAGAAAAACGCCCUGUCCCCCUCACCUCUGCAGCCUCUGGUACAUCAGCUUACAAAUAAGAGGUGCUUAGCAUAUGUCUGUGGAACCAAAUGUGAGAGAUGGCCCAAAUAAGAUGUUCUCCGCUCUUUGACACCUAGAGGCAGAGUCCUGCAAACUUCUGAGAUGGAUGAUUGGUGAAGGUCAGCUACCCACGAAUUCCCUUCCCACAUCAUUGGAUAGACCUAGCAUGUCCAAUGAAAUGAGGAAUCAGGAAUUAAAAUAGGUUUCUACUCCAAAGAAUAAUCGAAACAGCUAUCAUUUCUGGAGUAACUUUCUGCCAAACUGCAUUUUACAUAUUCCCUUCUUGCAUUCGCUGCAACAAUAUGUAUGGUUGUUUGGUCCUGUUGCUUUAGUCUUGUAGCAAGAGAGAACAGGUGGUAGAGCAAAGCGGCUCACCUCAUGACAGUCAGAAAGCAAAGAGAGAGGAGGACAGCGUCUCAAAAUACCCUUCAAGGGCAGGCCUCAGGGACCUCACUUCCUUCCCCUAGGCCCUGCCUCUUAAAGAUUCCACCAGGUCCUACCUCACCAUCAGCUAGAGGCCAAGACUUCUCUCAAGUGAGCCUUUGGGAAUCCUUAAGAUCUAAAUCCUAGCUCUCUUGUUGCUUCUGCUGUCUUCUGCUACCAUCAGCUGUUGCCCCUCUGCCAUGUGCCACCCUGCCUUGGA